rnacentral:rRNA from 1 species
GACGAACGCUGGCGGCGUGCCUAAUACAUGCAAGUUGAGCGCUGAAGGUUGGUACUUGUACCGACUGGAUGAGCAGCGAACGGGUGAGUAACGCGUGGGGAAUCUGCCUUUGAGCGGGGGACAACAUUUGGAAACGAAUGCUAAUACCGCAUAAAAACUUUAAACACAAGUUUUAAGUUUGAAAGAUGCAAUUGCAUCACUCAAAGAUGAUCCCGCGUUGUAUUAGCUAGUUGGGGAGGUAAAGGCUCACCAAGGCGAUGAUACAUAGCCGACCUGAGAGGGUGAUCGGCCACAUUGGGACUGAGACACGGCCCAAACUCCUACGGGAGGCAGCAGUAGGGAAUCUUCGGCAAUGGACGAAAGUCUGACCGAGCAACGCCGCGUGAGUGAAGAAGGUUUUCGGAUCGUAAAACUCUGUUGGUAGAGAAGAACGUGGGUGAGAGUGGAAAGCUCAUCAAGUGACGGUAACUACCCAGAAAGGGACGGCUAACUACGUG